CUCCCUGUAGUGUAAUGGAUAACACUUAAGAUUCCGGUUCUUACAAUGAAGGUUCGAUUCCUUUCAGGGAGG
rfam:Staphylococcus microti strain DSM 22147 contig_66, whole genome shotgun sequence.